UUUACAUGGCUGUUAGGGCAGAGAAAGCUAAUGAGAUCAUGCUUUCUUUUACAAUCUGCAUUCCUUCAAAGGAAUAGUAGCACCUUUGGCAUCAUCUUCAAAUAUAGAGGAAGAUGAUAUUAAAAAACAAAGUAAUGGUUUCAAUAUGAUAUGCUCUUCUUUUGCAAAGAGACUCUUGUCUGAGAAGAAUGGAAAUUUAUUUUGAAUCAGAGACCUUUUCUAAAUAAAAGAAGAAACUGUUCUUGUCUAAAUAUGGUCAUAUUAGUUGCUUGAUUCCUCUCUGAUCCCUAUUGCUGUUUGCUACAUUAAGUUCUCAUUGCAUGUGCACUUGCUUCUUGGGCAAUGAAAAUAAAUUAAUCUUGAACAUUAAUCUGAAAAUAUUUCACUUUAGUCUUCCAGCUGACUUACUUCUUGUUGAUUCUGCUGAAGUGCUAAGGCAUUUUGGAUCCAGAUAAAGAUGUUUUUUAAAAUCACCUUUGUUAAAGUUCCAUCCUAGUUUAGGCUGAAAUGGCAAAGAAGUAAAUGCAACUCUUCCCUUGUUGACUCUGUCUUCUAAAAGGGGGAAGUUAGCUAGGGGUUCAGAUUCCAUCCAUGAAGAAAGGCAAUGAAAAGGCAUGGAGCUGGGAGUUGGGGUUUGCUUGAUAGAGAACGAUACCUCCUAGCUGUGUGAUCCUGGACAAGUCACUUAACCUUCAUUGCCUAGCCCUUCCCACUCUUCUGCUUUGGACCGGAAGGUAAGGGUUUUAAAAAUUCCUUAGAGAUGAAUACUUAAGUUAUUUUACUCAUGCAUGAUGUUACUAAUAAUUAUUAAAAGUUAAAUUGUUUUUUUGGGAGGGGGAGUUAGUUAGCAAGUACAUCAAAAGCUUUUGAAGUUGAUAUAGAGAGUAACCAUGCUCCAUACAAAAUGUAAGCAUCCAUUUUUAUCUAGAUGAAUCAUGAGUCUGACCCAGUUUAGCAUUAUUAUUAUUUUUUAUGUUCUUAUCCUUAGUGCCACAAUUAGUUGAAUUGAUCCUAUAAUAUUAGAAAAAAUGUACAUGCCCAUUCACAGCUUAGUGUAUCAUUAACGACUCUGUGUUUGGGUUUUCAACAACCAGGAGAAUAAAUUGUGGGAGGGAAAAAGAAAAAGGAUAAGAAGGAGGCCACAAAGGUUACAACUUUUAUCACACACUAUAUUAAGUCUGUCUGUCCAAAGUCCACUGAGAAGUUUUAGCAAACUCUGAAGGCCACAGCCCAGCCCAAGGCAGUUCCACCAGCCUUUACGUGUAUCCUGCUUGCAUUGAGACAUGCUGACUGGAAUUAUAUAUAAAAUCUACUAGACUAUAUUUGUCAUCUAGCCUUUUCAGGGUCCAUUUAAAUAACAUGCUAACUUGCCAACUUGGCUGCAUUCUCAGUGGCCUUCUGUCUUGUGGUAGCACUCAUGAACUGCCUCAUUUGCCUCCUGGGUUAUCUUCUUGUGUCAUUGAACUCUUAUAUUGUUAUUUUACUUUUUAUCUUGUCUUCUCAACUAGAUGGGAAGUUCCAUGUGUCCUUGGUCUAUGCCUUUUAGUCUUUAAUAAACAAGGAAUAUGUGUGUGUCUGUAGUUGUAGAGAGCAAUAGAUAUUUCUAUAUACAUACAUAUAUGUGUGUAGACAUAUUUAGAUAGAUAUUGGUACAUAGAUGUGCUUGAUCUUUCUUUGCAUUCUUGGAGCUUGGCACAAUCCCUGCCACACAGGAAGUUUUUUUUUAACCCUUGCCUUCUGUCUUAGCAUUGUUCCAAGGUAGAAGAUCAGUAAGGGCUAGGUAGUUGGGGUUAAGUGACUUGCCCAGAAUCACAGCUAGGAAGUGUCUGGAGCUAGAUUUGAACUCAGGUUCUCCCAUCUUCAGGCCUGGCUGUCUAUUCACUGAAUCACCUAGCUCUCCCACAUAGAAAGCUCUUACUAAACAGUUGUUAUCUUGACUAUCCCAUAGUAUUUGGUUCAGGAUCUGGUCCAAAAUAGAAACCUAAGGAAUUCUUGUGAACUGAUUAGUUGGUCCUAAUAACCAGCUGUAGUCUGUCUCCUGGCUUCUAGUCUUACAGCAUGAAAUGCUUAUUGAACAUUUUGAUCAAUCAGAAAUAUCUAUUAGGCAUGUAUUCGGUGCCAAGCACUGAGCAAAGCUCUAGGGAUACAAAAGAGUUAAAAGACCGUCUCUCCUCUCAAAGAUCUUCCAAUCUAAUGGGGGAGACAAAAACUAAUAAAUAUAUGUAAACAAUCUAUAUGCAUAAUAAUUAACAGAAGGAAGGCACUCGAAGUAAGAGGAGCUGGGAAAAGCUUCUUGGAGAAGAUGACAUUCUGGUUGAGGCUUAAAGGAAUCCAGGGAAGCGAAUAGGUAGAAGGGAAGACAAUGAACAUUUCAGGCAUGAAGGAAAGCUAGAGAAUGCCUGGAGUCAGAUGGAAUGUCUUGUUAAUGGAUAGCAGACACCGUGUCACAGGAUUGAAGUUUACAUAGCAGAGAGUAAGGAUAUUGAAAAGGUAGAAAGGGGCUAGUU